CUUUGAUUAUGGCUCAGGAUGAACGCUAGCUACAGGCUUAACACAUGCAAGUCGAGGGGGAACGAUAGAGAAAGCUUGCUUUUUCUAGGCGUCGACCGGCGCACGGGUGAGUAACGCGUAUCCAACCUGCCCAUCACUUGGGGAUAACCUUGCGAAAGUAAGACUAAUAUCCAAUGAUAUCUCUAGAAGACAUCUGAAGGAGAUUAAAGAUUUAUCGGUGAUGGAUGGGGAUGCGUCUGAUUAGCUUGUUGGCGGGGUAACGGCCCACCAAGGCGACGAUCAGUAGGGGUUCUGAGAGGAAGGUCCCCCACAUUGGAACUGAGACACGGUCCAAACUCCUACGG
rnacentral:rRNA from 1 species